rnacentral:rRNA from 1 species
GAUGAACGCUGGCGGCGUGCCUAAUACAUGCAAGUCGAGCGAACAGACGAGGAGCUUGCUCCUCUGACGUUAGCGGCGGACGGGUGAGUAACACGUGGAUAACCUACCUAUAAGACUGGGAUAACUUCGGGAAACCGGAGCUAAUACCGGAUAAUAUAUUGAACCGCAUGGUUCAAUAGUGAAAGACGGUUUUGCUGUCACUUAUAGAUGGUUCCGCGCCGCAUUAGAUAGUUGGUAAGGUAACGGCUUACCAAGGCAACGAUGCGUAGCCGACCUGAGAGGGUGAUCGGCCACCCUGGAACUGAGACACGGUCCAGACUCCUACGGGAGGCAGCAGUAGGGAAUCUUCCGCAAUGGGCGAAAGCUUGACGGAGCAACGCCGCGUGAGUGAUGAAGGUCUUCGGAUCGUAAAACUCUGUUAUUAGGGAAGAACAAAUGUGUAAGUAACUAUGCACGUCUUGACGGUACCUAAUCAGAAAGCCACGGCUAACUACGUG